rnacentral:tRNA from 1 species
UCCCUGAUAGCUCAGUUGGUAAAGAAUCUGCUUGCAAUUCAGGAGACCCUGGUUCGAUUCCUGGGUCUGGAAA